rnacentral:rRNA from 1 species
UCAAGCAACUAAGCGCAUACGGUGGAUGCCUUGGCAGUCAGAGGCGAUGAAAGACGUGGAAGCCUGCGAUAAGGCUCGGGGAGCUGGCAAACAAGCUGUGAUCCGGGCAUCUCUGAAUGGGGAAACCCACCGACUUUCGGGUCGGUAUCUUACACUGAAUCCAUAGGUGUGAGAGGCGAACCGGGGGAACUGAAACAUCUAAGUACCCCGAGGAAAAGAAAUCAACCGAGAUUCCCUAAGUAGCGGCGAGCGAACGGGGACUAGCCCUUAAGCUAGACAACUGGUAGGAGAAGGCUCUGGAAAGUGCCGCCAUAGUGGGUGAUAGCCCCGUAUCCGAAACCUGAGUCUGGUGAAAUCGAGUAGGACGGGACACGUGAUAUCCUGUCUGAACAUGGGGGGACCAUCCUCCAAGGCUAAAUACUCCUGACUGACCGAUAGUGAACCAGUACCGUGAGGGAAAGGCGAAAAGAACCCCUGUGAGGGGAGUGAAAUAGAUCCUGAAACCGUAUGCGUACAAGCAGUCGGAGCGGACUUGUUCCGUGACGGCGUACCUUUUGUAUAAUGGGUCAGCGACUUAUGUUCAGUGGCGAGGUUAACCGUUUAGGGGAGCCGUAGGGAAACCGAGUCUGAAUAGGGCGAUUUAGUCGCUGGGCAUAGACCCGAAACCGGGCGAUCUAUCCAUGAGCAGGUUGAAGGUGCCGUAACAGGCACUGGAGGACCGAACCCACUGUCGUUGAAAAGCCAGGGGAUGACUUGUGGAUCGGAGUGAAAGGCUAAUCAAGCCCGGAGAUAGCUGGUUCUCCCCGAAAGCUAUUUAGGUAGCGCCUCGGACGAAUACCACAGGGGGUAGAGCACUGUUUCGGCUAGGGGGUCAUCCCGACUUACCAACCCGAUGCAAACUCCGAAUACCUGUGAGUACUAUCCGGGAGACACACGGCGGGUGCUAACGUCCGUCGUGAAGAGGGAAACAACCCAGACCGCCAGCUAAGGUCCCCAAGUACCAGUUAAGUGGGAAACGAUGUGGGAAGGCUCAGACAGCUAGGAGGUUGGCUUAGAAGCAGCCAUCCUUUAAAGAAAGCGUAAUAGCUCACUAGUCGAGUCGGCCUGCGCGGAAGAUGUAACGGGGCUAAACUGGUAACCGAAGCUGCGGAUAUGUAGAUAGUUCGCUAUUUACAUAUGGUAGAGGAGCGUUCUGUAAGCCGUUGAAGGUGAACCGGGAGGUUUGCUGGAGGUAUCAGAAGUGCGAAUGCUGACAUGAGUAACGACAAUGCGGGUGAAAAACCCGCACGCCGGAAGACCAAGGGUUCCUGCGCAACGCUAAUCGGCGCAGGGUGAGUCGGCCCCUAAGGCGAGGGCGAAAGCCGUAGUCGAUGGGAAACGGGCUAAUAUUCCCGUACUUCUUCAUAGUGCGAUGGGGGGACGGAGCAGGCUAGGCCAUCAGGGCGUUGGUAGUCCCUGUUUAAGGUUGUAGGCUGGUUGCUUAGGUAAAUCCGGGCGAUCGAGGCCGAGAGCUGAUGACGAGUCCAAGGCGAGAGCCGCGGAUGAAGUGGUUGAUGCCAUACUUCCAGGAAAAGCCUCUAAGCUUCAGCUAUGAAGGAACCGUACUGUAAACCGACACAGGUGAUCAGGUAGAGAAUACCAAGGCGCUUGAGAGAACUCGGGUAAAGGAACUAGGCAAAAUGGUGCCGUAACUUCGGGAGAAGGCACGCUGGCAGUAAGUGAAGCCCCUGCGGGUGGAGCUGAGACCAGUCGAAGAUACCAGGCCCCUGCGACUGUUUAUUAAAAACACAGCACUGUGCAAACACGAAAGUGGACGUAUACGGUGUGACGCCUGCCCGGUGCCGGAAGGUUAAUUGAUGGGGUUAGCGCUUGCGCGAAGCUCUUGAUCGAAGCCCCGGUAAACGGCGGCCGUAACAAUAACGGUCCUAAGGUAGCGAAA